rnacentral:tRNA from 1 species
GAGGGUAUAGCUCAGUGGUAGAGUGUGCUUAGCAUGGCAAGGUCCUGGGUUCAAUCCCCAGUACUUCCC